rnacentral:piRNA from 1 species
UGAGCAUAGCAACAGCGACUGUAACUAGGA